AACGAACGCUGGCGGCAUGCCUAACACAUGCAAGUCGAACGAGACCUUCGGGUCUAGUGGCGCACGGGUGCGUAACGCGUGGGAACCUGCCCUUAGGUUCGGAAUAACUCCCCGAAAGGGGUGCUAAUACUGGAUAAUGUCUUCGGACCAAAGAUUUAUCGCCUUUGGAUGGGCCCGCGUUGGAUUAGCUAGUUGGUAGGGUAAAAGCCUGCCAAGGCGACGAUCCAUAGCUGGUCUGAGAGGAUGAUCAGCCACACUGGGACUGAGGCACGGCCCAGACUCCUACGGGAGGCAGCAGUGGGGAAUAUUGGACAAUGGGCGAAAGCCUGAUCCAGCAAUGCCGCGUGAGUGAUGAAGGCCUUAGGGUUGUAAAGCUCUUUUACCCGGGAUGAUAAUGACAGUACCGGGAGAAGAAGCUCCGGCUAACUCCGUG
rnacentral:rRNA from 1 species